AAGUCGAGCGAACAGACGAGGAGCUUGCUCCUCUGACGUUAGCGGCGGACGGGUGAGUAACACGUGGAUAACCUACCUAUAAGACUGGGAUAACUUCGGGAAACCGGAGCUAGUACCGGAUAAUAUAUUGAACCGCAUGGUUCAAUAGUGAAAGACGGUUUUGCUGUCACUUAUAGAUGGAUCCGCGCCGCAUUAGCUAGUUGGUAAGGUAACGGCUUACCAAGGCAACGAUGCGUAGCCGACCUGAGAGGGUGAUCGGCCACACUGGAACUGAGACACGGUCCAGACUCCUACGGGAGGCAGCAGUAGGGAAUCUUCCGCAAUGGGCGAAAGCCUGACGGAGCAACGCCGCGUGAGUGAUGAAGGUCUUCGGAUCGUAAAACUCUGUUAUUAGGGAAGAACAAAUGUGUAAGUAACUAUGCACGUCUUGACGGUACCUAAUCAGAAAGCCACGGCUAACUACGUGCCAGCAGCCGCGGUAAUACGUAGGUGGCAAGCGUUAUCCGGAAUUAUUGGGCGUAAAGCGCGCGUAGGCGGUUUUUUAAGUCUGAUGUGAAAGCCCACGGCUCAACCGUGGAGGGUCAUUGGAAACUGGAAAACUUGAGUGCAGAAGAGGAAAGUGGAAUUCCAUGUGUAGCGGUGAAAUGCGCAGAGAUAUGGAGGAACACCAGUGGCGAAGGCGACUUUCUGGUCUAUAACUGACGCUGAUGUGCGAAAGCGUGGGGAUCAAACAG
rnacentral:rRNA from 1 species